rnacentral:lncRNA from 1 species
AUGAGGACUGUUGCAUCUGUAACAAGUCUACUGUUGCAACCGGCACUGAGGGGAAUUACUUUUCUUAUGGACAAAAGGGGCAAGCCGUUGUGGCUGACCGAAAAAAAUGUUACUAAAGGCCCUGAGAGUGCUUCUCCCUCCAUCAGUGUACCCAGUGCAGGUAGCUAGCUACAUAUUGAAAUGAAAUGUUCCUCCACCUUUAACCAUUUUGACUGUCCCCUAAAACCUUUUGUCUUUGUACCCCAGAUACUACAGAAUACAUGGUCCUAAAAGGGUUUCCCCCAACACCAGUGUAAAAAGUUAGAAAGAAGACUGCCCGCACAAGCACUGAUGAGGCCCGAAACUCAUAUUGCAAGUAUGUGGAUUGUGGAAUAUUAAAUACUAUUUAAUAUGUAAUACUGUAAACCACGCACAAAGUUUCUGAACUCAACUCAAUACAGAUGAACCUCCUGCGCACAGCAAUAGACUGUAUAUGAGUGUAGCAUGUUCUGAAUAAUAGGAAGGGCCACAAUCUGUGUGUGUUUGUGUGUGUGUCCGUGUUGGCUUGUGCAAAGUGUCAUGUGUGUCUUAUUGUUCCACAUUUUAUAGUCAUAUUCUCUAAUCUCCCGGUUGGAACCAAUAUGACUGAAUAUCUCCACCAGGCGACCAAAAGAACAAGUGACCCGACACCCUUUGUUCUGAGUCUCGGGGACAAUCGUCUCUAGUCCCUGGCAUUCACCAUCAUGAAUGGGCAGGUUCUGGAGACAUUAUGUGUUGUUGUUGUUUUUACAAAGAAUGCACUUGAACAUGUAUACCUGGUAGGGCUUGGGGGAGUAGAGGGUAAAGUUGUUACUUUUCUUCAGCCCCAUUCCUCAGCUUAAAUUGGUAGGGCUGCUGUGAUUUUCAAAUGAUGGAUUGUGCUUCUGAAAUGUUUGCUUAUUUGUGUGUUCCCUAUUUGUGCUUUGUCUUUUGCAUGACUUCAUUUUGUAGCUGAGAUGAAUAGCUGAGAAUAAAGGUGUUGUGUUCUAUCUACAAUUUGUCAUGACUGGCCCCAUGUCAUUUUAAGAAUUAUUGUUAGAAGUAUUCAUACUUUUUGAAAAUGAGCUGAUUCUGUAAUAGAGAAAAGGUAGAAAAAUAGCCUAGAAAUAAAGUAAGAAAUAACCCACUGCUGGGUCAAAAUAACAACCCCAACGUGUUGGGUCAUUCACAUAACCCAACAGUGCUGGGUCAAAAUAACCUAAGUGCUAUAGUGACCCAGUUUUGGGUUACAGCAUAUUUUUUUUUUAGAGCGCAUGAUUUUCACAACUUCACAGUAUUAUUUCAUCCUCAUAGAAUGAAAAUAUAUGUAAAACAAAGAAUCACGUUUUUGACUCCACUGGGCCUCUAAACAACCUCAAAGUUCAUGGAAAUGUGUCAUUCUCUGUCCAAAUUCAAG